GUAGUCAUAUGCUUGUCUCAAAGAUUAAGCCAUGCAUGCAUAAGUACAGCACCUUGUCAGUGUGAAACCGCGAAUGGCUCAGUAUAUCAGUUAUGGUUCAUUAGGUUCUGCGAAAUUACUUGGAUAACUGUGGUAAUUCUAGAGCUAAUACAUGUUCAUGCGAUCUCGACCGUAGGCCUCGCGCAAGCGGGGAACCGCGGGCUGAUUCGCGCGCUUAUUAGCUAAACCGUUACGCGCUCUAUUGAGAUGCGGAAUACGGUGGUGAAACCUGCAUAAGUUGGACGAUCGCUUACGGGGUCUUCCCGGCGACAUUCCUUACAAGUGUCUGCCCUAUCAACUGUCGAUGGCAGGUUAUACGCCUACCAUGGUGAUAACGGGUAACGGAGAAUCAGGGUUCGAUUCCGGAGAGGGAGCCUGAGAAACGGCUACCACAUCCAAGGAAGGCAGCAGGCGCGCAAAUUACCCAAUCUUGGAACGAGGAGGUAGUGACGAAAAAUAACAAUACGGGACUCUUUUGAGGCUCCGUAAUUGGAAGAGUUNCCCCAAAUNCCUUAACCAAGGAUCAAUUGGAGGGCAAGUCUGGUGCCAGCAGCCCGCGGUAAUUCCAGCUCCAAUUGGCGUAUAUUAAAGUUGCUGCGGUUAAAAAGCUCGUAGUCGAAUGCUCACGGCCCGGGUUCAACAGGUGCUAUAAAACGUACCGCAAUCCGUGGUCGUAGACGUUGACGGUCCGUCCGCUGUUCUCUUCACUGAGAGCUUCGGGUGGCCGUGCCCUGUCACUUUGAUUAAAUUAGAGUGCUCAAAGCAGUCUUUACGACAAGAUAUCUCUUGCAUGGAAUGACAAAACACGUUGCUGUUCUGUUUGUCGGUUUUUGAAACGGCUAAAUGAUCGAGAGGGACUGCCGGGGGCGUCCGUAUUGCGGCGUGAGAGGUGAAAUUCUUGGACCGUCGCAAGACGAACAACAGCGAAAGCAUUCGCCAAGAAUGUUUUCAUUGAUCAAGAACGAAAGUCAGAGGUUCGAAGGCGAUCAGAUACCGCCCUAGUUUUGACCAUAAACGAUGUCACCUCGCAAUCCGCCCGAGUUCUGAUAACGACUCGGCGGGCAGCCCCGGGAAACCAAAGCAAGGUUCCGGGGAAGUAUGGUUGCAAAGCUGAAACUUAAAGGAAUUGACGGAAGGGCACCACCAGGAGUGGAGCCUGCGGCUUAAUUUGACUCAACACGGGAAACCUUACCCGGCCCGGACACUGGAAGGAUUGACAGAUUGAUAGCUCUUUCUUGAUUCGGUGGAUGGUGGUGCAUGGCCGUUCUUAGUUGGUGGAGCGAUCUGUCUGGUUAAUUCCGAUAACGAACGAGAUUCUAGCCUAUUAAAUAGGCGCGAGCCUCUUCGCGGCUCGCGCUCUCCUUAGAGGGACAAGGUGCAAUUAGCACCACGAAACAGAGCAAUAACAGGUCUGUGAUGCCCUUAGAUGUCCGGGGCCGCACGCGCGCUACACUGAAAGAAGCAGCGUGUCGUUUUCCUCGUCCUGCGGGACUGGGCAACCCGAGGAACUUCUUUCAUGAUUGGGAUAGGGGCUUGCAAUUGUACCCCUUGAACGAGGAAUUCCCAGUAAACACUAGUCAUCAGCUAGUGCUGAUUACGUCCCUGCCCUUUGUACACACCGCCCGUCGCUACUACCGAUUGAAUGGUUUAGUGAGGUCUUCGUAGCGGUCCUCUGCUUAUGGCCUCCUCCUCACGGAGGGGUCGUGCUUACGGACUGUGAAGAUAGCCGAACUUGAUCAUUUAGAGGAAGUAAAAGUCGUAACAAGGUUUCCGUAGGUGAACCUGCGGA
rnacentral:rRNA from 1 species